UUCCAUAUGGUGAAUUAAUCACAUUAUUUUUUCAAAAUAAAAUUGAAGCUAUUCUAUGGGUA
rnacentral:tRNA from 1 species